CUACGGGGUGCUCCAGGCGAGAAAACUUUGCAAUGUGCGAAAGCACGACAAGGUUAAUCCGAGUGGUCUCUGCUAAAGGGACCUUUUGACAGUCCUAGAAACACUGUUGAAUAAGGGGUGGGCAAGUUCUGGUGUCAGCCGCCGCGGUAAAACCAGCACCUCAAGUGGUCAGGAUGAUUAUUGGGCCUAAAGCAUCCGUAGCCCGCUUUGCCAGUUUUCGGUUAAAUCCAUAUGCUCAACAUAUGGGCUGCCGGGAAUACUACAAAGCUAGGGAGUGGGAGAGGUAGACGGUACUCGGUAGGAAGGGGUAAAAUCCUUUGAUCUAUUGAUGACCACCUGUGGCGAAGGCGGUCUACCAGAACACGUCCGACGGUGAGGGAUGAAAGCUGGGGGAGCAAACCGGAUAGAUACCCCAGUAGUC
rnacentral:rRNA from 1 species